rnacentral:lncRNA from 1 species
UGAGGCCUUCACCAGAAGCAGAUGCUGGUGCCGUGCUUCUACAGCCUGCAGAACUGAAGGACUUUACAGCUUCUCUUUCGCAUAUCCAAAUUGCCAGCAUCACCGCUCUUGCACUCCAAGCCAUUAUUAAGUAAAGUAAAGAACACAAACACUGUGAUACUGCUACACUUGAUCUGAUAACCAAGAAGUCUACUAAGUGACUAACAGAGCAACUGGGAACCUAAUUCUGACCAAAAAGGAGGAAUUGUUUGGCUAAUUGGAAGUGACAGAAACCUUGGGAGAAAGCAACCGCAUACCAAGGAUAAUUAUAAGAAGAGAAGACAUGGAGAAGAGGAGGGAGUAGUUGUGACCGUGGAGGCAGAGAAUGGAGUAAUGUGAUCAUAAAUCAAGGAAUGCUGACAGCCACUAAAGCUGGAGAAGGCCAAGGACAGAUAUUCAAUCCUCCCGUAGAAGUACAGCCCUGCUAAUGCAUUGAUUUUGGACUUCUGGCCUCAGAACUGUAAGAGAAUAAAUU